rnacentral:tRNA from 1 species
GGGACUGUAGCUCAGUUGGUAGAGUACUUGCCUUGCAUAUAUGAGGUCCUGGGUUCAGUCCCA